GAGUUUGAUUCUGGCUCAGGAUGAACGCUGGCGGCAUGCCUAACACAUGCAAGUUGAACGAGAAGUUCUGGAGGGAGUCUUCGGACGAACGAAGGGAUGGAAAGUAGCGAACGGGUGAGUAACGCGUGGGCAACCAACCUUACACAGGGGGAUAACACAGAGAAAUCUGUGCUAAUACCGCAUAAGCGCACAGUAUCACAUGAUACGGUGUGAAAAACUCCGGUGGUGUAAGACGGGCCCGCGUCUGAUUAGCUAGUUGGUGGGGUAAAAGCCUACCAAGGCGACGAUCAGUAGCCGACCUGAGAGGGUGAUCGGCCACAUUGGGACUGAGACACGGCCCAAACUCCUACGGGAGGCAGCAGUGGGGGAUAUUGCACAAUGGAGGAAACUCUGAUGCAGCAAUGCCACGUGAAGGAAGACGGUUUUCGGAUUGUAAACUUCUAUCAGCAGGGAAGAAAAUGACGUACCUGACUAAGAGCCCC
rnacentral:rRNA from 1 species